AGAGAAUAGAUACCCUGGUAGUCCUGGCCGUAAACGAUGGGUACUAGGUAGGGGGGUGCCAAACGCCUCUCUGCUGGAGCGAAAUGUAUUAAGUACCCCGCCUGGGAAGUACAGUCGCAAGGCUGAAACUCAAAGGAAUUGACGGGGGCUCACACAAGCGGUGGAGCAUGUUGUUUAAUUCGAAGCAACGCGCAGAACCUUACCUGGGCUUGACAUGCUGGUGGUAGAAGCUUGAAAGAGUAACGACCCCCUCUGGGGGAGCCAGCACAGGUGUUGCAUGGCUGUCGUCAGCUCGUGUCGCGAGAUGUCGGGUUAAGUCCCAUAACGAGCGAAACCCCUGUCCCUAGUUACUACCGGGUAAAGCCGAGGACUCUAGGGAGACUGCCGGUGUUAAACCGGAGGAAGGUGGGGAUGACGUCAAGUCCUCAUGGCCCUUAGCCCAGGGCUACAAACGUGCCACAAUGGCGGGUACAGAGUGAAGCGAAACCGAGAGGUCGAGCAAAUCACAAAAAGCCCGUCCCAGUUCGGAUUGAAGGCUGCAAUUCGCCUUC
rnacentral:rRNA from 1 species